rnacentral:rRNA from 1 species
GAUGAACGCUGGCGGCGUGCCUAAUACAUGCAAGUCGAGCGAAGCGGGGACGGGUGAGUAACGCGUGGAUAACUGCCUAUAAGACUGGGAUACCUCCGGAAACCCUGAGCUAUACCGGUAACUUAUAGAUGGAUAUGGGCUGCAUUAGCUAGUUGGUACGGUCACGGCUCACCAAGGCAACGAUGCAUAGCCGACCUGAGAGGGUGACCGGCCACACUGGAACUGAGACACGGUCCAGACUCCUACGGGAGGCAGCAGUGGGGAAUCUUCCGCAAUGGGCGAAAGCCUGACGGAGCAAUGCCGCGUGAGUGAUGAAGGUCUUCGGGUUGUAAAACGCUGUCAGUAGGGAAGCGGUACCUACACAGGAAGCAACGGCUAACUACGUGCCAGCAGCCGCGGUAAUAC